ACUCAAAUGAAUUGACGGGGGCCCGCACAAGCAGUGGAGCAUGUGGUUUAAUUCGAUGCAACGCGAAGAACCUUACCCAGGUUAGAAGUGCAGGGGAAGAUGCCAGAGAUGGCAUUGUCCGAAAGGACCGCUGCAUAGGUGCUGCAUGGCUGUCGUCAGCUCGUGCCGUGAGGUGUUGGGUUAAGUCCCGCAACGAGCGCAACCCUUAUCAUUAGUUGCCAACACGAGAGGUGGGGACUCUAAUGAGACUGCCUAGGUUAACUAGGAGGAAGGUGAGGAUGACGUCAAGUCCGCAUGGCCUUUAUGUCUGGGGCUACACACGUGCUACAAUGGUCGGUACAGAAGGCAGCGAAGUUGAAAAAUGGAGCAAAUCCCCAAAGCCGAUCUCAGUUCAGAUUGUAGUCUGCAACUCGACUACAUGAAGUUGGAAUUGCUAGUAAUGACGUGUCAGCAACAACGUCGUGAAUACGUUCCCGGGCCUUGUACACACCGCCCGU
rnacentral:rRNA from 1 species